UACAGAGGUCCCAAGCGUUGUUCGGAUUCACUGGGCGUAAAGGGUGCGUAGGUGGUCGGGUAAGUCUGAUGUGAAAUCUCGCAGCUCAACUGCGAAACUGCAUUGGAUACUAUCCGGCUUGAGGAUCGGAGGGGGGACUGGAAUUCUCGGUGUAGCAGUGAAAUGCGUAGAUAUCGAGAGGAACACCAGUGGCGAAGGCGAGUCCCUGGACGACUCCUGACACUGAGGCACGAAAGCUAGGGGAG
rnacentral:rRNA from 1 species